UAUGCGAGGACAGCAAGCCUCAUGGUUCAAGCUGCUCUCACAUGCCAUAAUCUCUCGAGAUCUCCACACCCAUCGUCAGCAUCUAAUUCCUUCUCUUCUUAUCUGACCUCAUCUCUGGAGCAGUGUGAUCUGUGUUACCGACUGACUGGAUUCUGGCAACUUAAACAUGUGUAUUUCAAAUGGAAUUUGGCUCUAACAUGAUCGGUCUACGUUAUGCUCAGUGUAAUUGUAGGGAAGAGAUUACCCUUUAGAUACAGUAACGUGUCCUGUGUCUUUUGAAAAUGGAUCCCUAGAAGAGUAUGGCGUCCUCCUACUUUCCAUGGUUUGCCAUUGUAAGAUACUUACGUAACGACAAAUAAUAGGAUUUCUCGAAUGAGUUUAUAGGAAGCGGCUUUAUACUUGGGAGUGGUGGAGACUUGUAUUCCUGUGAGAGUCCAUUGAUGCAGGAUACCAUCUGUUUCCUAUGUAACAUUAAUUCAUGUCAGCUUUUCUGGAGUCAAGCAAAAGCCAAUGGGAAGAGAAGAAAGGAAAAGAAAAGGCACAAGCAAUGAGACCACUCAACAUAAGUUCUGAAUUCAUUCAAAAGAUUCUAAAGAAAGUAUUUACUCUGCUGUUUCCAGUCUCAUUCAUCUUUAACUCCUCUGUAUCGAAAAACGUGGACUUAUUACUUUGAUUUUGUGAAGACUUAUUAAAAUAGGGCCAAUUAACUUAACUGCAGUAUACCUGAGCUGACAAAUAUAUUGCAGAUGGAGACCAUUGCAGGAAACUACAGGUGAUCAAAAUUCUGGAAUGGAGUGGUGCCCAGUACAUGAUAUGUAUGUCCUCAGGGACUUCUUCAUCCCAGUAACAGAUGCAGAGUGAAGGUGGGAGCUGGAAACAACCAAAAUUUUAUAGACUGAGUCAAGAAGUGGCGCUUACUGCUCCCUUGCAUUCUAUUGGCUGUAACUGUCACGUGGGAAAGAGGCGGGGACGGAAACCGACUCAGAAACAAAGGCUCAAGGAAAACUCAUUGACCGUCUUUGUCACGGAUGGCAAAAGAACUUUAGGAAAAAAAGUAAGGCAUUCAAGGAAAUAUAAAACCACACAUGGAAAAUUGAGCUUGUGUUUUGUCUAGAGAAGGAUAGCCCAGCUGGGAAGAUACGACUUUUAGUUUAUUUCUAAAGAUGACGAUAAAAAAAAAAAAAAAGACAAACCUUGGCCUGAAGUCACAUACUUGAUCCUCAAAUGUCAGCUUUGGAGAUGUUUGAGAUCAUCAGUCCAUGUGGUAUAGGAAGCAUCUAUGUUGACUCCUUCGUGUAUUUCAACCCGCAGAGAUGAUCUUGGAGGGUGACAGAUGUAACUUGUACUGGCGUUGAUUUGUACAAAUAAAAAUGAGUCGUUUUAAAAGC